rnacentral:rRNA from 1 species
AUACGGAGGGGGCUAGCGUUGUUCGGAAUUACUGGGCGUAAAGGGCGCGUAGGCGGACUAUCAAGUCAGGGGUGAAAGGCCUGGGCUCAACCCGGGAACUGCCUUUGAAACUGAAAGUCUAGAGACCGAGAGAGGAUAGCGGAAUUCCCAGUGUAGAGGUGAAAUUCGUAGAUAUUGGGAAGAACACCAGUGGCGAAGGCGGCUAUCUGGCUCGGUACUGACGCUGAGGCGCGAAAGCGUGGGGAGCAAACAGGAUUAGAAACCCCUGUAGUCC